ensembl:lncRNA
CAGUAAAAUUUGCAGUGUGUUGAAAUCACAUUGUAAACUUCAACUUGCACUUAUAGUGUAGAUUCCUCUACAGGUAGAGUCGAUUCCUCUACAGAAGUUACAUUUGAAAUCCAGAGCUAAAAACAUUAGUGGAAAGAAUGCUCCACCCCUAUUUUUUGGAACAACGCAGCCAGACCUCAAGAAUCAGCGCCAUUUUGAAGAGGCUCCAAUAGAAAGGCAAACGGAUCAUGUUGGUCAAAGUCAAGUUCAGAGGCAUCCAGAAAUUCAUCAGCAUUUCUGAAGCCAAGAUCAGUGAACUGCUUGAGUGUGCAUUCCAGAAGUUUUGUUUGUCAAGACUGUCAAGACAUCUCCCUCAGCCAAUUGCCUAAUGCAAAGCUCUUUAAUGACUCUAAAACUGAGGUUGACCAGGAGGUGUUUGGAGAAGUGAUUGGUGCAAAUACUGGUGUUUAUGAGCUAUCCAUUGAUGGUGUCUCUGAAGGUUUGUAUUGUCUAAUCAAUGUGAUGUUGUUGUGGUUUUUUCAGGCUGAUAGAGAUGCUAUUGAAUUAUUUUUCCAUGUUGAUAAUUUGGCAGUGAGGACACAGGAUUAUAUUCUGUAUUAAUAAUGUCAAUUAUCUAAAUAGGACAUGGGUAGAACAGAUGACGCAACCUGUAUGUCCUAGGGUUCUCUUUCUCUUUCUCUCUCUCUCUCUUGUUUUUAGGAGACCUUGGAGGUGCUCUUUUACCUGAUUGGAUGAAAAUGGUUGUCUUGACGUAAAAUAUGAACUUUACGUAAAAUAUUGCUAUGCCGGUUUUGUUUCUGAGGCACCAGCUGUUGGCCAGUCGACACCAGCUGUAAGUCAAGAGGACUCUGAUACUGACUCUACUCUCAUUCUGAGCGAUGAAAGUCCCCAGCGGAAACGGUCAAGACCAAAUAGGUCUGAGGCCCAUGCAACUCUACCUGCUCCCUGCAAAGUUCUAUUUUCCCAACACAGUAAUCUGAUGGCAACCGGCAGAAGCUCUUAAUUAAUGCGCAAAAGUCUCCUGGAUCCAUUCACUUCAAGUUUAGUGUCAUGUUCUCAAGUAAGCAUUUAUCAGCAAGUCCUCCAUCCUGCUGUCUUGAGUUUUGCUGAAAAGACGUUUAAGCUAAAUAAAUUCAUGUGUAUGCGGUA